rnacentral:rRNA from 1 species
AUUGAACGCUGGCGGCAUGCCUUACACAUGCAAGUCGAACGGCAGCAUGGAGAGCUUGCUCUCUGAUGGCGAGUGGCGAACGGGUGAGUAAUGCAUCGGAACGUACCGUGUAAUGGGGGAUAACGUAGCGAAAGUUACGCUAAUACCGCAUACGACCUGAGGGUGAAAGCAGGGGAUCGCAAGACCUUGCGUUAUACGAACGGUCGAUGUCAGAUUAGCUAGUUGGUGAGGUAAAGGCUCACCAAGGCGACGAUCUGUAGCGGGUCUGAGAGGAUGAUCCGCCACACUGGGACUGAGACACGGCCCAGACUCCUACGGGAGGCAGCAGUGGGGAAUCUUGGACAAUGGGGGCAACCCUGAUCCAGCCAUGCCGCGUGAGUGAAGAAGGCCUUCGGGUUGUAAAGCUCUUUCGGCCGGGAAGAAAUCGCACAGGCUAAUACUCUGUGUGGAUGACGGUACCGGCAUAAGAAGCACCGGCUAACUACGUGCCAGCCGCCGCCGUAA